rnacentral:rRNA from 1 species
UACGGAGGAUCCAAGCGUUAUCCGGAUUUAUUGGGUUUAAAGGGUGCGUAGGCGGCGUGUUAAGUCAGAGGUGAAAUUCGGCAGCUCAACUGUCAAAUUGCCUUUGAUACUGGCACACUUGAAUGCGAUUGAGGUAGGCGGAAUGUGACAUGUAGCGGUGAAAUGCUUAGAUAUGUGACAGAACACCGAUUGCGAAGGCAGCUUACCAAGUCGUUAUUGACGCUGAGGCACGAAAGCGUGGGGAGCAAACAGGAUUAGAUACCCUGGUAGUCCACGCCGUAAACGAUGAUAACUCGACGUUAGCGAUACACUGUUAGCGUCCAAGCGAAAGCGUUAAGUUAUCCACCUGGGAAGUACGAUCGCAAGGUUG